GUUACCUUCUUCUUACCACCCUCGAUCACAGUUGUAGCUUUAAUAUCGAUUGACGUAGCUUCGUCAGGGAUAAGAGUAGCCUCUUCAGGUUUCAACUCUUCGAUUUCGGGCAAUGGUUUAGUCUCCUCAUCAACAAUCUCGGUAAUUUCUGGUUUAGAUUCUAUGACCUCAACAUUCUCAACACCGUCUUUCACGGUUUUGAUUGUUUUCUUUUUAGUUACCUUCUUCUUACCACCCUCGAUCACAGUUGUAGUUUUAAUAUCGAUUGACGUAGCUUCGUCAGGGAUAAGAGUAGCCUCUUCAGGUUUCAACUCUUCGAUUUCGGGCAAUGGUUUAGUCUCCUCAUCAACAAUCUCGGUAAUUUCUGGUUUAGAUUCUAUGACCUCAACAUUCUCAACACCGUCUUUCACGGUUUUGAUUGUUUUCUUUUUAGUUACCUUCUUCUUACCACCCUCGAUCACAGUUGUAGUUUUAAUAUCGAUGGACGUCGCUUCGUCAGGGAUAAGAGUAGCCUCUUCAGGUUUAAACUCUUCGAUUUCGGGCAAUGGUUUAGUCUCCUCAUCAACAAUCUCGGUAAUUUCUGGUUUAGAUUCUAUGACCUCAACAUUCUCAACACCGUCUUUCACGGUUUUGAUUGUUUUCUUUUUAGUUACCUUCUUCUUACCACCCUCGAUCACAGUUGUAGUUUUAAUAUCGAUGGACGUCGCUUCGUCAGGGAUAAGAGUAGCCUCUUCAGGUUUCAACUCUUCGAUUUCGGGCAAUGGUUUAGUCUCCUCAUCAACAAUCUCGGUAAUUUCUGGUUUAGAUUCUAUGACCUCAACAUUCUCAACACCGUCUUUCACGGUUUUGAUUGUUUUCUUUUUAGUUACCUUCUUCUUACCACCCUCGAUCACAGUUGUAGUUUUAAUAUCGAUUGACGUAGCUUCGUCAGGGAUAAGAGUAGCCUCUUCAGGUUUCAACUCUUCUAUUUCGGGCAAUGGUUUAGUCUCCUCAUCAACAAUCUCGGUAAUUUCUGGUUUAGAUUCUAUGACCUCAACAUUCUCAACACCGUCUUUCACGGUUUUGAUUGUUUUCUUUUUAGUUACCUUCUUCUUACCACCCUCGAUCACAGUUGUAGUUUUAAUAUCGAUUGACGUAGCUUCGUCAGGGAUAAGAGUAGCCUCUUCAGGUUUCAACUCUUCGAUUUCGGGCAAUGGUUUAGUCUCCUCAUCAACAAUCUCGGUAAUUUCUGGUUUAGAUUCUAUGACCUCAACAUUCUCAACACCGUCUUUCACGGUUUUAAUUGUUUUCUUUUUAGUUACCUUUUUCUUACCACCCUCGAUCACAGUUGUAGUUUUAAUAUCGAUUGACGUAGCUUCGUCAGGGAUAAGAGUAGCCUCUUCAGGUUUCAACUCUUCGAUUUCGGGCAAUGGUUUAGUCUCCUCAUCAACAAUCUCGGUAAUUUCUGGUUUAGAUUCUAUGACCUCAACAUUCUCAACACCGUCUUUCACGGUUUUAAUUGUUUUCUUUUUAGUUACUUUCUUCUUACCACCCUCGAUCACAGUUGUAGUUUUAAUAUCGAUUGACGUAGCUUCGUCAGGGAUAAGAGUAGCCUCUUCAGGUUUCAACUCUUCUAUUUCGGGCAAUGGUUUAGUCUCCUCAUCAACAAUCUCGGUAAUUUCUGGUUUAGAUUCUAUGACCUCAACAUUCUCAACACCGUCUUUCACGGUUUUGAUUGUUUUCUUAUUAGUUACCUUCUUCUUACCACCCUCGAUCACAGUUGUAGUUUUAAUAUCGAUUGACGUAGCUUCGUCAGGGAUAAGAGUAGCCUCUUCAGGUUUCAACUCUUCGAUUUCGGGCAAUGGUUUAGUCUCCUCAUCAACAAUCUCGGUAAUUUCUGGUUUAGAUUCUAUGACCUCAACAUUCUCAACACCGUCUUUCACGGUUUUAAUUGUUUUCUUUUUAGUUACCUUUUUCUUACCAC